UACGUAGGGUGCAAGCGUUAAUCGGAAUUACUGGGCGUAAAGCGUGCGCAGGCGGUUAUGCAAGACAGAUGUGAAAUCCCCGGGCUCAACCUGGGAACUGCAUUUGUGACUGCAUAGCUGGAGUGCGGCAGAGGGGGGAUGGAAUUCCGCGUGUAGCAGUGAAAUGCGUAGAUAUGCGGAGGAACACCGAUGGCGAAGGCAAUCCCCCUGGGCCUGCACUGACGCUCAUGCACGAAAGCGUGGGGAGCAAACAGG
rnacentral:rRNA from 1 species